CCAAUAGCGUAUAUUAAAGUUGUUGCAGUUAAAAAGCUCGUAGUUGAAUUUCGGGGUUCUUCCGUUGGUCAGGCUAACCAGUCUGUACUAGCGUGUAGAAUUCCUACCUUCUGGGGAACCAUCAUGUUAUUAAUUUAGCGUGGUGGGAAACCAGGACCAUUACCUUGAAAAAAUUAGAGUGUUCAAAGCAGGCUUACGUCUGAAUACAUUAGCAUGGAAUAAUAAAAUAGGACGGUGGUCCUGUUUUGUUGGUUUCUGAAUCACCGUAAUGAUUAAUAGGGAUAGUUGGGGGCAUUAGUAUUCAAUUGUCAGAGGUGAAAUUCUUGGAUUUAUUGAAGACUAACUUCUGCGAAAGCAUUUGCCAAGGAUGUUUUCAUUAAUCAAGAACGAAAGUUAGGGGAUCGAAGACGAUCAGAUACCGUCGUAGUCUUAACCAUAAACUAUGCCGACUAGGGAUCGGACGAUGUUAAAUUUUAUUGACUCGUUCGGCGCCUUACG
rnacentral:rRNA from 1 species